rnacentral:rRNA from 1 species
GUAAGAUAGAAAGGGCACACGGUGGAUGCCUCGGCACCGGGAGGCGAUGAAGGACGCGGCGACCGGCGAAACGCCUCGGGGAGCCGGUAGCAGGCUGUGAUCCGGGGGUCUCCGAAUGGGGUAACCCGACGGGGGUCAUGCCCCGUCAUCUCCUGCGCUCUGCAGGAGAGGCGAACCCGGGGAAGUGAAACAUCUCAGUACCCGGAGGAAAAGAGACCAACAGGCAUUCCCUCAGUAGCGGCGAGCGAACAGGGAGGAGCCCAAACCAGCGCUGCCCGGCAGCGCUGGGGUUGUAGGACACCCACACAAAGGCGACACGGCGGGAUAGCCGAAUGACCUGGAAAGGUCAGCCAGAGAGGGUGAUAGCCCCGUAGGCGAAAUCCCAAAGUGCGCCGAGGGUGCUCCUGAGUACCGCGGGGUAAGGGGAAUCCUGCGGGAAGCUGCCAGAACCAUCUGGCAAGGCUAAAUACUCCCCGGUGACCGAUAGUGCACCAGUACCGUGAGGGAAAGGUGAAAAGAACCCCGAGAGGGGAGUGAAAUAGAACCUGAAACCGUGUGCCUACAAACGGUCGGAGCUUCUACUGUGCCUUCGGGCGCAGUAGGGGUGACGGCGUGCCUUUUGCUUAAUGAGCCAGCGAGUUACCGUCGGCGGCGAGGGUAAGGCUCUGCGGAGAGCCGCACCCGUAGCGAAAGCGAGUCCGAACAGGGCGCCAUAGUCGCCGGCGGUAGACGCGAAACCGGGUGAGCUACCCAUGGCCAGGGUGAAGCGUGGGUAACACCACGUGGAGGCCCGAACCGGUGUGGGUUGAAAACCGCUCGGAUGAGCUGUGGGUAGGAGUGAAAAGCUAACCGAACCCGGAGAUAGCUCGUACUCCCCGAAAUGCCUUUAGGGGCAGCCUCGUGGCGCAGUCUGCCGGAGGUAGGGCUCUGGUUGGGUAAGGGCGGGUAACACCGUACCGAUCCCAGAUAAACUACAAAUGCCGGACAGACGGUCCACGGGAGUGAGGCGGUGGGGGAUAAGCUCCAUUGCCGAGAGGGGAACAACCCAGACCACCGGCUAAGGUCCCUAACUGGGCGCUCACAGACAAAGGAGGUCGCCCUGCUAAGACAACCAGGAUGUUGGCUUAGAAGCAGCCAUCAUUUGAAGAGUGCGUAAUAGCUCACUGGUCGAGCGGGGCGGCGCCGAAAAUUCUCGGGACUAAGCGCCCGACCGAAGCCGUGGACAGAUGCUCCCGGAGCAUCUGUGGUAGGGGAGCAUUCGGCACCGCGGUGAAGCGGCUUCGCGAGAAGCCGUGGAGCGUGCCGAAGAGCGGAUGCUGGCAUAAGUAGCGAGAAAGCACGUGAGAAUCGUGCUCGCCGUAAGCCUAAGGGUUCCUCGAGCUCCGUUCGUCGGCUCAGGGUUAGCCGGCCCCUAAGGUGAGGCCGAAAGGCGUAGCCGAUGGGAAGCAGGUGAAUAUUCCUGCGCCACUGGCGGCGUUCGACACGGGGACGCAGGAGCGAGGUCUGCCGGGGUAACUGGCUAUCCCCGGUGGGCGUAGCACACUGCCGAGAAAAGCCGUGUCUCAAGAGCCGUCGGUGACCGUACCGCAAACCGACACAGGUAGGCGGGGUGAAUAUCCUCAGGCGCGCGAGUGAGCCGUGGCUAAGGAACUCGGCAAAUUGGCCCCGUAACUUCGGGAGAAGGGGUGCCCUCUCCUCCGGGGAGGGCCGCAGUGAAAGGGCUCUGGCGACUGUUUAUCAAAAACACAGCACUCUGCUAACUCGUCAAGAGGACGUAUAGGGUGUGACACCUGCCCGGUGCCGGAAGGUUAAGGGGAGGGGUUAGCCCGCAAGGGCGAAGCUCCGAACCGAAGCCCCGGUAAACGGCGGCCGUAACUAUAACGGUCCUAAGGUAGCACUGCUGCCUGCCUCGGCGGCAACGCCGAGGGCAAUAGCUGGCUGUAUGCGGGAAAGUCCUGAGAGCCUGACCUACUCGGAAGCCUCCGCUUCCAGUAAAAAUGGUCAGGAUUGGACAACCCGCAGGAAACCCGCCUGACGGCGGGGCUCCUCAGAGACUAUACGCCAGCCAUCCAGCCGAAAGGAGUACCGAUGGAUCUGACGCCCGAAUGGGUCGUAGGCUUCGUCGACGGUGAGGGGUGCUUCUUCAUCGACAUCAACCCUCAUGCGGAGAUGAGCACCGGCUACCAAGUCCUGCCCGAGUUCCGCAUCGUUCAGCAUCAGCGCGAUAUUCAGGUCCUCUAUGCCCUCAAGCGCUUCUUCCGAUGCGGCACCGUGCGUCGCAACCACGGUGACCGCUACGAGUUGCGCAUCCGCAAGCUCUCGUGCUUGCAACGGGUGGUGGAAUUCUUCGAAAAACACCCGCUCAAGACCCGAAAGCAGGUGGAGUUCAAGAAGUUUGCCCGGGUCAUCCGCCUCAUGAGCGAAGGGCGCCACCUCACCAGAGAGGGCUUAAUCGAGAUUAUCGAAAUCGCGCUGACCAUGAAUUGUGCGGAUAGGGCAAAAACACGGGCGAUCCUGCAGGAAGUCAGAAAGGCUGGAUGAAGAGAUAGUCCACACCAGGCUGAAAGGUCUGGAGGCAUGUGAGCGAAAUUCCUUGUCGGGUAAGUUCCGACCUGCACGAAUGGUGUAACGACUGGAGCACUGUCUCAGCCACGGGCUCGGCGAACUUGUGGUACCGGUGAAGACGCCGGUUACCCGCCACGGGACGGAAAGACCCCGUGCAGCUUUACUGCAGCCUGGUAUUGAAUCUGGCGGUACCAUGCGUAGGAUAGGUGGGAGGCUGCGAAGCCCCGGCUCCGGCUGGGGUGGAGCCACCGGUGAAAUACCACCCUUGGUGCCGUUGGGUUC